rnacentral:lncRNA from 1 species
CCUCAUCUGACCGGAAUUACCUUCCAGAGGAAAUAAUACCAUCGCUUUAGAUGGCAGAGUUUCAACAUGUGAAUUCUGGGGGGACAUGAACCUCAGAACAUACCACCUUGAUUUUAGACUUCUGUCCUCCAAAACUGUAAGAGAAGAAAUUUAUGUUGUUUAAGCCACCAAUUGUGUGGUAAUUUUUACAGUGGCCACAGGAAACUAACACAGACUCCAACGAGGCCUUCAGUGAGUGGUUUAGAAUAUCAGCAAUUAAUGGGCAUGAGAAAUCCUCUCAGGUCUCUUGCUUGGGGCUGACAGAACAGAAAUCUGCAUAUUUCCAACCACCCCAGGAAGUUCUGCUACUGAUAGGCGAUCCACAAUCCACCAGAGACUAAGAACUUAAAGCGCUUCUGAUAAGGGGUCUAUCCACAAGGGAAAAUUGGUGAGAAGAAAAAUCAGAAACUCAGGCUUAAGUUCCAGAUCGGUAAAAAUUUCCACUCUUUUUUUGUUGGCUGGGCAAGUUCACAUCCUAGCGGCUAAAGACUUGCAUGAUGUGGGCCUUACCUACCCCAUUUGCUUCAUCUCAUCCUCUCAUCCUGCAGGCUCCAACCAAACUGGACUUUCAGUAUUUCUCAAACAGCCCAGGGAAGGAUUUUUUUUUUUUUAACUUCUUCAUUCUCAGUUUCAUCCUAAUCCAGUCUGUUACCCUUUGUGAAAGAUGACAUAAGUGAAGCCAUAUUAAAAUAGAGCCAGAACAGCCAUUUCAGAGGAACUGCCUUUCACAUCUUGUUUAUUUUUAUCUUCCAAACUGGACCAAACCACCAACAUUCCAAGAGGUCAGUAAGGACAAGAAUAUCCCGUUUGUAAGGACUGAUGGAAUUGGCCUUUGCUGAUGACCAGGUGGAUAACCAAUCAAUGGAGCACAAGUCUAGCCUUUUGCCUGAUGACCUAAUCUCCCGCCAAUCUGUGAAGUACAAACCCAGCCUUACCUCAUUUGGCACCAAUGAACUCUUCUUUAAUACAACUCACCUCGUCCUCCCUUUUUCCCACAAAAGCUUUAAGCCUCUCUCCUGUAAUCAGGACACUAUUUGAGUUUCUACCAGAUUCUGUGCUCCCUGAAUUGCAAUUCUUUGAUCCCAAAUAAACACUUUGCC